AUGGCUCGCGGCGACCAUCAAGAUGAUGAUGAUGACUUCAUGGAGUUACCGCAACAGAAUCGCGCGACCGGUCGGACAAAAGAUGGCGACGAGAAGAACAAACGUCAUCGCAAUAGGGCUUCGCAAGAACGCCUGACUAUGUUGACCGAGGGAUUUACUGAUGAGCAGAAGGGAGCUGCCGGUGAGAUGGGGAUGCAGGCUCUGAUGGAUGUUCGGUGCAAGAACCUAGUGAACCCUGUAUGCGACUGGCUCGGUGAGAUAUAUGAGCCUGCCUCUAGGGAAUUUGUGAUUCCGGGACGUGGAAGACUGCCUUUGGGUGAGGAAUCUGUGUUCUGCACUUUGGGCGUGCCCCGUGGAGAAAUCAAAGUUCCUUAUGAGGGCAUGAAAACCCAUGGCGAGGUAUUUAAGAUGAAGCUGCUCAUGUACUUGAUCUCAGUUGUCUUUGCGCCUACCACAUCUCUUCGUCCAAGCAACAAGUGCUUCCCUAUCCUGGUGAAGCUGAAAGACGUUAAGAACAUGAAUUGGUGUAAAUUCAUCACAGACUUCCUGCAUGAUGCAUUCUCAAACAAGAUGUACCAGAAGGGCUGUCGCUUGCACCUAAUGCUCAUGUACGUCGAUCGUCUUGAUCUGUCCACCGUCGACUUUACUGGGAUAGGAGGCCCGCCGCCUCCACAUAAGUUCGUUGUCUCUGCGUGGACGUACGAUGCUGUCAAGGCUGUGCUUGCCGCGGACAAGAUAACUGAUACGAAAUAUGGGAAACUGCAGCUGAUGGCCAAGCAUGCUAUAGACUACAGUGUGUUUGGUGGGCCACAAAACUUUGGCAAGUGGAUUGAUGUGCAUUCAGCUCCAUCUUGUCCUGCUAAGGCGAGGGCACCUGUUGAGCAUCUAGUUGGGCAGUUUGCUUCCGGCAUGACCAGCUUGCUCGGUAAGUUGGUUGAGGGUUGA
rnacentral:rRNA from 1 species